GGCAAGAACCAGUCUCCCCCAAAGCCCCGAAUUGGAAAUUGUGGUGGCUGAUGUGACGGAGGGGGCGGAUAAGUUGGCCGGAGUGAUUGGGGAUGCAGAGGCGGUUAUUUGUGCGACGGGGUUUCGACCAUCUUGGGAUCUCUUCACUCCGUGGAAAGUUGAUAACUUUGGCACAGUGAAUCUUGUGGAAGCCUGCCGUAA
rnacentral:misc_RNA from 1 species